GAACUCGCUAACCAAUAUCUCUAUAUCUGGGCUUCUGGGGUCGGUGGAAUCGCCAUUUUGGUGUUGGUAUUUAUCAUUGUCCUGAGGUGCCGUUCGACAAAUAAAAAGCAAAGGAGUACCGGGGGCCAUGAAGAAUCGGUUGAGGCGAACAACAUCCUGACUUAUUCUGCUGUAGAUAUGAGCAAUUCCAAAAGGAAAUGGAGACAGAAAAGCGAAGAGGAGACAUCCUAUGCACAAGUAAAACAACGGGCCGCCCGGGAAGUACUUACAUACGCAUCUGUGGAAUUGUCUCAACCCGGGAAUGCUGGUAAAGUUAAACCUAGGGAUAAGAUCACGGAAUAUGCUGCGCUGCAGACGGCAAAUCCACGAAGAGUAAAAGAUGACGGAAAGUAAUCAAGGAAAUUCUAUAGACUACGAUGGCCUGGUAAUACUUUACGAUCCAUGCAGUAAAGGGUCUUCAUUAUAUACACGUUCACAUCCACCUAUGUUAUAGAAAUACCGAAAUUGGACCUAUUACACAACAGUCAUAUUAAUCUUUAAUUAUUCAAGAUUAUCUGUCUGCAAUCGAUGAAUUCUAAAAAAUAAUCACAAUAACUUAGUUAUUUAAAACUAUUAAAAUAUAUUAACAGCAUGCAUUAAUUGUACAUGUCAUGCUAUUUUCCUAUCUGUUUGUGUAU